ACAGGGAAAGCGCCCAUGGUGCCCGCGGUCCUGGGGUGGUGCGGGGCAAGGGAGCAGCUGCACGAGGGCUGCCAGGGCUGUUUGCUUCCUUGGCAGAUCCCUGGUGUUUCCCUGCCUGUUCUCCUGUGAGUGAGAGGAUGGAGCAUUCUGUGUGUCAUGCUGGAUCCCAGCUGGAUGGAUCUAGAUUUUCUGACCUUCCCAUCUCCUGGAGCAAGAGAGCGGUUGAGGCAGGCAGUAAUGCAGGAGCCAGGGGCUGGAUGCUGUGCAGCACCACGGAGUUCUUGGAGGACCUGAGUCUUCUGCAGGAGCGAACCUUUCCAUGGGGUUAAAUCCACAAUGUUGUGUUUCAAAGAGGUCUCAUUGUGCUGGAAACCACACCGAUGUCGCAAGAGACGGCUCCUUCCCAGGCAGAGGAAGACCUGCAAGGAGCGAGAGGGACGUGGGGUGAGUGCCGAGCUGCAGAGCAAAGCAGGCCUCACAGCACGGCUUCUAGACGUGGAACUUCAAAACCAGGCCUGCGUGGUUAUUCUCCCUUCAUUUUCACAUGCUUUAUUCCCGUGCAAAUCCAUUCACAUCUGCCCAGAGUCAUACAAAUGAGUCCCUGAAGCUGCCUCUCUUCGGGCUGUGCACACUGCACUGUGAGUCCCACUGCUGGUUCCUUCUUUCCUCCUUAACUGCUGCACGAUGCCAGCAGCUUUCUGCUUGCUUUACGAUUUCAUGGCGGUUGCUUGACACAUCAGUGCAAAAAUUAAUUAACUUUGGCAACGGUGUAAGCAGCAGCUUCGGCAGUCCAAGAGCGAGCAAGGUCAGGGUUUCAGCACGAUCCCAUUUGGAGAACUCGCCGGGGCUCGAGCGGAGCAUUCUCGCUGCUGUGAUUUGGAUUUGGAUUGCUGCUCUCUCGCCUUGUUUGCAAGUCCUGUCCUGUUGGCGAGGCCAACGCAAAGCCAAAUCCCAAAGACAAUGGCGGAUGACUGUUCCACGCAUGGAGCAGCGAUCGGCGCCGGGCACCCUUUGGCUCCCAAGCAUACAGUCACUACAAAACCAUUAUCGACUUAAGAAAAUACCUCUGCUGGUGUCUUGGCUUUCAUUUGGUGAUAUUAAAAGGUCAGAAGAAAAAUUAGAGCUCUUUUCACUCUCACCCCUUUAAGUGCUAAAUUCAUUGCAAGCAAUUGAGCCAACAAUUUAGAUUAACGAAAUAGCUUCAGAUGACGGAGAAACUGUGAUCCUCAAAGGAUGCCUGAACGAAGUGCGGCUUUUCAGAAGGAGAUUGAAAUUGCCCUUGGCCUCCUGUUACAAAGAUCCUCCCCGUUGGCCUGGGAUGUGAAUAAUGCGAGAGCAGCGCGCUCAGCUCUGCAGUGUGCCCUUAGACCACAGUGAAAGGCUGCGAGAGGCAACAGUAAAUACAGGGGAAAAAAAGGUCUGUGUCAGACUGACUCCAAAUUAAUCUGUUUCCCAAGCAAAUAAUUACUGCUGCCGGUGAAUUGCAUUUAUCACACUGAUGUUAUAGUCUCGUAGGGCUGAAACAUCUUUGGGAUUCUUUUCCUCCCUGUCUAGCCCUUUCCCAGCCUUCUCCAGGGCAUGGGUGAGGAUGCAUCUCCCAGCCUGGCCUGGAGAAGGAGCCUGGCAAGCGUGAAGCACGGCAGCAAUCCAGUGAGAUGAUAGAUGGGAACUGUUACAGUUCAGCUGCUUUUUCAGCCAGCUUGUUUCCUUGGUGCCUCUGUUGUUCUACUGCGCACACAAGCCUCCGCUGAGACAAAACUCACAUCUCUUCUUUAAUGGGAGAUAGGACACUGUCAGCGUAAUGUGCUCCCCAUGGACGGCUCCAGCUGAGGAGCUCAUUGCUAAGACUGAGCCCACGGGGAUGGGAGGUGUUGGAGUGUCCCCCAGCACAGAGCACCAAAGGCUGAGCUGAACACAGAUCCCUCUCUGGAGAGGUGUCUGCACCACUGGUUGGUGGGAGCAGAAGAUGCUGCAGAGGAGAUGCAUCUUCUUUUGUCCUCCUCCAGGACCCUGGUCAGGACUGAAAAGGAGACCAUGCAAGGAGAAAACCGUCCCAGACUUUAACACAAAUCCCAAGGGGUGAUGGAUGGUGGCGCAUGGCUUUCUAUCCUGUAAUCCAAAGAUCAGCCCCUAUCAACUGACUGUCAUUCCCACAUGAGGUGUCCCAUUGUGAUCCAAGGCACAACAGUUGGCCAUCCUGGUGAAGGAGGAAAGUCCUCCUAAUGUCAGCAGCAACACGUUGUACCACUCGUGCAGUGCAGUUCCAGCUCAGUCUCAAGCCCAUGGGUUUCAACUUUCAUUUUGUUUCAACUUUUAGAUCUUCCUAGAAAAUUUCUUUUCCUGACAACCAUUCUGAGAAACUCAUUUUCCAUGACUGGUUCCUUCAGAAAUGUUAUUACUGGCCAAUAAUUGAAUAAGAUUAAAUUUCUCUUGCUGGAAAAUUCAGACUGUACAAAGUUUUAAUAUCAAAACCCUAACAAGUAAUAACAAGUAAUUUCCUGAGAAU
rnacentral:lncRNA from 7 species